UACGUAGGGGGCAAGCGUUGUCCGGAAUCAUUGGGCGUAAAGAGCGCGUAGGCGGCCCAGUAAGUCCGCUCUGAAAGUCAGGGGCUCAACCCCUGGAUGCGGGUGGAUACUGCUGGGCUAGAGUCCGGAAGAGGUGAGUGGAAUUCCUGGUGUAGCGGUGAAAUGCGCAGAUAUCAGGAGGAACACCAAUAGCGAAGGCAGCUCGCUGGGACGGUACUGACGCUGAGGCGCGAAAGCGUGGGGAGCGAACAGG
rnacentral:rRNA from 1 species